AGAGUUUGAUCCUGGCUCAGGAUGAACGCUGGCGGCAUGCCUAAUACAUGCAAGUCGAACGAGAGGAAGGAAAGCUUGCUUUUCUGAAUCUAGUGGCGAACGGGUGAGUAACACGUAGGUAACCUGCCCAUGUGCCCGGGAUAACUUCUGGAAACGGAUGCUAAAACCGGAUAGGUAGCAGACAAGCAUUUGACUGCUAUUAAAGUGGCUUUGGCCAUGAACAUGGAUGGACCUGCGGUGCAUUAGCUGGUUGGUGAGGUAACGGCCCACCAAGGCGACGAUGCAUAGCCGGCCUGAGAGGGCGGACGGCCACAUUGGGACUGAGACACGGCCCAAACUCCUACGGGAGGCAGCAGUAGGGAAUUUUCGUCAAUGGGGGGAACCCUGAACGAGCAAUGCCGCGUGAGUGAGGAAGGUCUUCGGAUCGUAAAGCUCUGUUGUAAGAGAAAAACGGCACUCAUAGGGAAUGAUGAGUGAGUGAUGGUAUCUUACCAGAAAGUCACGGCUAACUACGUGCCAGCAGCCGCGGUAAUACGUAGGUGGCGAGCGUUAUCCGGAAUUAUUGGGCGUAAAGAGGGAGCAGGCGGCACUAAGGGUCUGUGGUGAAAGAUCGAAGCUUAACUUCGGUAAGCCAUGGAAACCGUAGAGCUAGAGUGUGUGAGAGGAUCGUGGAAUUCCAUGUGUAGCGGUGAAAUGCGUAGAUAUAUGGAGGAACACCAGUGGCGAAGGCGACGAUCUGGCGCAUAACUGACGCUCAGUCCCGAAAGCGUGGGGAGCAAAUAGGAUUAGAUACCCUAGUAGUCCACGCCGUAAACGAUGAGAACUAGGUGUUGGGGGAAUAACUCAGUGCCGCAGUUAACGCAGUAAGUUCUCCGCCUGGGGAGUAUGCACGCAAGUGUGAAACUCAAAGGAAUUGACGGGGGCCCGCACAAGCGGUGGAGUAUGUGGUUUAAUUCGACGCAACGCGAAGAACCUUACCAGGUCUUGACAUUGAUCGCGAUCUGCAGAAAUGCGGAGUUCUUCUUCGGAAGACGAGAAAACAGGUGGUGCACGGCUGUCGUCAGCUCGUGUCGUGAGAUGUUGGGUUAAGUCCCGCAACGAGCGCAACC
rnacentral:rRNA from 1 species